ACGGGUGAGUAAUGCAUCGGGACCUACCCAGACGUGGGGGAUAACGUAGGGAAACUUACGCUAAUACCGCAUACGUCCUACGGGAGAAAGCAGGGGACCUUCGGGCCUUGCGCGGUUGGACGGACCGAUGUGCGAUUAGCUAGUUGGUAGGGUAAUGGCCUACCAAGGCGACGAUCGCUAGCUGGUCUGAGAGGAUGAUCAGCCACACUGGGACUGAGACACGGCCCAGACUCCUACGGGAGGCAGCAGUGGGGAAUAUUGGACAAUGGGCGCAAGCCUGAUCCAGCAAUGCCGCGUGUGUGAAGAAGGCCCUCGGGUUGUAAAGCACUUUUAUCAGGAACGAAAUACCACGGGUUAAUACCCUAUGGGGCUGACGGUACCUGAGGAAUAAGCACCGGCUAACUUCGUGCCAGCAGCCGCGGUAAUACGAAGGGUGCAAGCGUUAAUCGGAAUUACUGGGCGUAAAGGGUGCGUAGGCGGUUGUUUAAGUCUGUCGUGAAAUCCCCGGGCUCAACCUGGGAAUGGCGAUGGAUACUGGGCAGCUAGAGUGUGUCAGAGGAUGGUGGAAUUCCCGGUGUA
rnacentral:rRNA from 1 species